GCAUUCCUGCAGCUCUUAAAGGCACAGCAAGGAAAAGUGAAGACCCUGAUACACCAUGUCUCUGGAAAGCCAGUGCACAAGGCUGACUGCCCCUUGGAGAGAAAGGGACAAUGGGCUGCAGGCCUGGCCAUCCAGGCUGAGCUGAAAAAUCUGAGGCUCAAGCUCAGAAACAGUUUUAUUAAGAGACACAACAGCUGUCUAUCUAGGGAAGCUUCCAGAGCCAAGCCAUCAGGAAAUGGACCUUCUUUGUAAGGAAGUCCUUGGGUUUUCUCAAUACCUAAAAGCAGAAUUCCGUUCACCUACAGCUUCAGGCCAGCAGUAUAUAGGAUUCAACUCCUGCAGGACCUGGUCCAACUGAAGGAUGAUAUUAUGAAGAUCAGCUAGUGUAUGGCAUCAGGGAUCACAGAUUAUUAAGGUGCGGAGACAUGUUUGCCUUGAUACUGACCAGUCUCACUAAAAUCCAGAGUGAACUUGCCCGAAGCUGGGAACCUGCUCUGGCCUGGAGCUACACUGUCAUAAAUGGGCUUUGCUCACUUGAUGAGUAUCCUUGCAUAUGCAGUGAGCUGGAAUCAAGCUUAGCCCCUGGAAAUACUGUGGAGUGGCCUACUGCUUUCCCCCUUCUUUAGCUGGGUUUGUUUUCUGGGCCCUCAUCUUGCCUGAUUCUAGCAUCCUUUGUUUUCCUGCUCCAGACAGUGCCACUAGGGCCCCAGGAUGCUUUUAGUCUACCAGUGCAUAAGGUGACAGGAUAAAGGAGUUUCAGUAUGUCCGGCAGAGUGGUGGCAUCAUCCCUACCAGAGGUUUGCAAGAGAAGCUUCUUGGAAACAAACUUCUCCUAGAAAGCCAUGUACAUAAGUCAGGUGUGUAAAAAGUAGUUUGGUCAUUCCAGGAGAAGGGCAAUUUUGAGCAUGGCAUGGGGGAGCUGUGCUGUGGCAACCCUUUUUGUCUGUCUUUUGUGUAGAGGACGACUGGAAAACUCAACCAAACAAACAAAACAAAAAGACUCUUAUAAGCUAAUGGGCUGCUUUCCAGCCAGAACUUCUGUAAAAUGAGGUAUAAGGGAAGAUUUUCCUGUAGUUAAGAAGGGCACUGACCCAGCGUGAUUUAGGUGCGGGGUGUAGAUAUAGUGGUGGUCAAGCACUGGUGGCCAGGAGGCUGGCCCAGUUGUUUCCAGUGCUGGCCAGGGCCCAUUUCAGCAGGCAGGAACAGCAGCGUCCUUGUUAUCAGACCUAGUGGCCUCCCAGGCAGCACCAGAGGUUGGAAGGUAUCAGAACUUCAGUGGCAUCAUCAGGAAGUGGUUGUUACAAUCAUAUCUGAACAGAGGGAAUUUAAGCAAAUUCAAUUAGCCUAAGACACAUGGAUCUGAUUUGAAUUAAACUGAAUUGAAACCAAAGAUGAGAACUGUCUCUAUGAAAAGUGUAAUGCAAAGCGACAUUUUGAUCACAAAAAUGACAGGUGAUAUGAGACAGGCCAUGGUAACCAACCCCAAAUUAAGAACAUGAAAAGACUGGGUGGAUUAUUAGAUAAUAUCUUCCUGUGAAUGUGAAAGUGGGUUUGGAUUACGGGAAAUAUCUAAGGGCUUUGAACUAACAAGUUUGUCAAAAAUUGAAGUGAUGUAUUACAUGAGUCAAUCUUAUACAUGCCUAUUUUUAAACUUGUAUUUUAAAUGAUUCAAAAAGCAUAAAAAUCUUAAGAUUUUAUUCACUAUUAUUUAGCACAGCUUUGCAAGUAUAUGAGGAAACUGCCCUACCUGCUUAGAAUUAGCUUCUCCCUUUCCUCAAAGAGGGCAUUCUUUAUUCCCACUCGCCCUCUUAAGAAUCAGUAUGUUGAAGAAAUACGGCAGUGUGCAUGUAACUACACUGUCAUUCAGGAGACUGGAGCAAUAGCAUGGAAAAUGAAAGUCCAUUUGGGUAAUAACUAUGACUUAUUGAGCAUGCAAGCACCCUAUGCUAUCCUAAGACUUUUGCAUAGCUUAUUCUCACUGAAUAUUUGCCUUGACCACCUGUGAUGGAUAUUACAACUAUAUUUUUUACAGAGGUAAUUGAGUCUCAGAAAGGCCAUAUUGCAAGCAGAGUAAAUGGUAGAGCCAGAAUCUGCCAUCGUGUGUUUAUGUAUCCAAAGGUAUGCUCUUAAAUUCUAUGUCCAGGAUGGCCAUUUAUUGGACCCUGGAUGCCAACUCCAUCACGGCUCCUUUCUAAAGAGGAUUCACAGUUCGGAAAAGAAUUCUAAACAGUCCAGACUUCAUAGGAAAGUGCAUUGAGAUCCACUGUAAGUCAAAUUUGAGGGGAAGGGUGCAGCACGUGUGAAAUGCAGACGUCAGUGAGGUGGGUUCAUCAGAAAUAAGUGAGAAGCAAGGGCUAUAAGUGAGGUGUCAUUCCAAAGGUAAGAAUACUGCCUCGGUUUUCUAGAUGAAGGGGCAAAUUCAGAAAUUGCUGGAAGGCAAAACUUACUCUACCUGAAGAAGUUAGGUGGUGGAUAGUUAGAGUUUGUUAAUUCAGGUUAACAAUUAACUACAUUUGUUCAAUAAUUCAUCCAACAUUUACCGAGCACCAGGCACACACGAUGUCCGUUAGAAAUACAAAGAUGACAAAUGUACAUCCUACUCUGAAAGAGCUCACAGCUGUCAGAAAAGGCGAGAGAAUCAAGGAUGAGAAAGAACAGGGAGUAAAUGAAGUCUCAUCAGGAAGCUUACUGUAACUGCUGUGUGUGUGUGUGUGUGUGCAUGCACACACGUGCAUGUGUGCAUGCAUAUGCACACACAGAAUUCCAUUUACCUAAAUGAGGAUGAAAAGGAAAAAAGUUAUGAUUAAAAAACUGAGUAAGGAAGAAGGUUGAAAGACUCCUAGGAUACACGAUGCACUGAACUGUGAAAUGAAAUUCCACUUAAUAAGCUUGGGGUGUCUCCCACCAACAAUAUAGCCAGCAGGAGCCAAUCACCAAUCAUAAGGACUUGCCUUGUUAAUGCAUAGCUCUGGUGAAAUUCCCCUGGGAGGCAACCCAGCAUGCCCUGUCCCAUAUCUGUACGGUUAUCGUACUUUUGCAGCUUGGGACUCAGACCUCUGAAUGGCCACCUAAUGGCAGCUGCCACAAAGUAAAGGGGACUUGAAGCUUAUAAUUCUGUUUCUGUCAUUUGGAAAAGUAACUUUGUAACACCAGAGAAAUCUAAUGAAUAAGAAUCACAAAUGACUAAGUAUUGAUGCUUUUGUGUAAAUCAUAUUUAUUUGAGUGCAAUAGCACAUUUUGUUAUCACAAUUCUGCUGUUUAGGUUUUUAAGGUAAAUGAUUAAUGCUAUAAUACAGUAGAAAAGUGCUAGGUUUAUGAUUUCAAUGGAUAUAUUUAGGAUAACUUAUGUUUAGGAUAACUAAGUUUACAGUCAACAUUGAAAUGGUUAGGAAGAUCCAAAUACUAAAUUUAUAAAUUUGAUUUUUAAGAUGUUGAAAUGCUUAAGGGAAUUUAAUCAAAAUGUGUAAGAUUUUACUUAUUAGCAUUAUAAGAGUUCACAGUAUGUGAGAACAAUUUUAACACCUACUGUGACAGAUGUUUGAAGUACUUUAUGCAAUCACAUUUUAAAUUUCUGAAUUUAGUCUGAAAUGUUUAAGGCAACUAAGUCAAUCAAUUGCUUAAAUAGUGCUUAAAUAUUAGAAUUUUAUUUGCUAGAUUAAUAAGGUUUUUUUCCUUUGUUUGAAAUGUUUAGAGAAUUUGAUUAAGUGUGAAAUUGAUGUUUAGAAGUUUAGGGAAGUUUAAUCUGUCAAAUUAAUGAGCUAAUUGAAAAUUAAGCAAAGAACAAGUGAAAAUGACUGUUUCAAUUUCAAAACAAAAUGAUUGGAUUUGUAAAUCAUUAUAAUAGUUAGCAUUACACAGCAUUUAGUGUGCACUCUUCUAAGAAUACUACAUAUAUUAGUUUACUCCACACCAUAAUUCUCAGAGGUAGGAAUUGUUAUUAUCUCCACUUUACAGAUGAGGAAAUAGAAGUACAGCAAUGUUGAAUAAAUGACUGCUUACCAAGUGCUAUGGACUAAAUUGUGUAUCCCCAAAUUCAUGUUGAAACCCUAACUUUUACUGUGAUGGUAUUUUGCAGAUGGGGCCUUUGCAAGAAAAUUAGGAUUAGAUGAGGUCAGGAGGGUGGGGUCCUUGUGAUGGUAUUAGUGCCAUUAUAUGAAGAGAACCCAAGAGCUAGUGUUCUUCCUUCCCAAACUCCCUUUCUCUCCACCCACCCUGUGAGGACACAGUGCGACAGCAGCCAUCUACAAACCAUGAAGAGUCCUCACCAGAACACAACUAUGCUGGUAACCUGAUCUCCGACUUCCAGUCUCCAGCACUGUGAGAAUACAUUUCUGUGUUUAAGUAGUCUGUGGUAUUUUGUUAUGAAG